GAGAAGGGCGUUUGGUGGAUGCCUUGGCAGUAAGAGGCGAUGAAAGACGUGAUACCCUGCGAUAAGCUUGGGGGAGCCGGGAAUAGGCUUUGAUCCCAAGAUCUCUGAAUGGGGGAACCCACCUGAAAGUUUGAUAUAACAGCCGCAAGGCUGCCUAUAUCCUGCUUAACCAGGUACUUAUGGACUGAAUACAUAGGUCUAUAAGAGCAAACCCGGGGAACUGAAACAUCUAAGUACCCGGAGGAAAGGACAUCAAUAGAGACUCCGUUAGUAGCGGCGAGCGAACGCGGACCAGCCGAGCCUGAUGAGUGAGAAGAACAUGUUGGGAAACAUGGCCAUAGCGGGUGACAGCCCCGUAUUCUAAGCUCUGAGGGACGUAUUAAGUAGGGCGGGACACGUGAAAUCCUGUUCGAAGAUCGGAGGACCACCUCCGAAGGCUAAGUACUCCUUACUGACCGAUAGCGAACCAGUACCGUGAGGGAAAGGUGAAAAGCACCCCGGCGAGGGGAGUGAAACAGUACCUGAAACCGAACGCCUACAAUCAGUUGGAGGCCCCUUGAGGGCUGACAGCGUACCUUUUGUAUAAUGGGUCAGCGACUUAAUCUAGCAAGCAAGCUUAAAC
rnacentral:rRNA from 1 species